rnacentral:lncRNA from 1 species
AAAUUUAGGAUAAUCGGGAAACAUAGAUAAAGAUCUGAAGCGUAGAAAUUAAAGGAAAGGAGACAAGGUAUUCUCACUGGUAGUAGAGGCGCAGGCGGCGGUGCUAGAAGUUCAAAUAUGUGAAAGUGAUGACAUUUUUCGUUCCUGAUAAAAUGAAGAGCAAAAACGUAGGAGAAGAUGGAGCUGAGGGCAGAAAUCGGUUUUAAGUUCUCAAACGUAAGAAGGAAAAAUCAAUGAAGAAAAGAAGUAAAAAGAUUACCUCUGCAAUCAAUGGAAGGGAAACGUCGGAGAGGAUGAAGCUUGAUGAGGGCAGAAAAAGAUUACCUCCCUUCCCGCUACUGUUUCUCAGUCGCU